CGUACGCCAUACGAAAAGCAUUGCCGACUAUGGUGUUCAAUUCUUCCGCCUGUGAACAGAGAGGAACGGUUAAAAAUUAGUUGAUGUUCUGCCGAAAAUUGGUUUAUCAUAAUAACUAUGAUAUACCUAUAUAGAUCGACUUACAAAUAAAUAAAUUUCCAAAAAUGAAGUAUCAAUCGGCAAAGAGAUUAACUCGAUAAUCGAUUAGUUAAUCAUCGUAUUUUGAUCGUCUUAUUCUCCGCUAUUAUACGAUUCCAAGUUUGAAAGAUACUCGAAUAACUUGAAACUCGUUGAGUCUAUCUUAUUACUUUUUCUCUCGUCUGGAUUCUCGACGAAUACUCGGAUACUUUGGAAUGUGAAAACUCCAAGAGACUAUUUCACGAAAAAUAAAGAAUAAGGAGAAAAA
rnacentral:lncRNA from 1 species